AAUCCGCAGCGAUUAGCAUCUCCUGCCGCCCACUGGGACCCAACACCCCCGUGCGCCCUCCCAGGGCCUGGCCUCCCCGAAGGGCCCUGCAGGAAGCAGAAUGUGGACCACAAUCCGUGCCCUGUGGUUCCCUCAGGCGGACCUGCCAUGUGUGAGUCGGGACAGGUGUCUUUACAGCAUGCUACAGAGCAGGGGGAGUGGAAGUUCCUGGAGUCUAGAAGCUUCUCUACCGUGGCCUCCAUCAUCACAUUCUAGAACCCAGAACCAAAGGCCACCUCCUGAAGGCAUUGGUUCCAUCCGAGGGCCUUUGGGGCCGGUCUACCUGGCACCAGAGAGAGAACACAAGCGGGAGGAGCUGCU